GGGUUGUGAGGUUAAGCGACUAAGCGUACACGGUGGAUGCCCUGGCAGUCAGAGGCGAUGAAGGACGUGCUAAUCUGCGAAAAGCGUCGGUAAGGUGAUAUGAACCGUUAUAACCGGCGAUGUCCGAAUGGGGAAACCCAGUGCAAUUCGUUGCACUAUCGUUAACUGAAUACAUAGGUUAACGAGGCGAACCGGGGAACUGAAACAUCUAAGUACCCCGAGGAAAAGAAAUCAACCGAGAUUCCCCCAGUAGCGGCGAGCGAACGGGGAGCAGCCCAGAGUCUGAAUCAGCUUGUGUGUUAGUGGAACGGUCUGGAAAGUCCGACGGUACAGGGUGAUAGUCCCGUACACCAAAAUGCACAGGUUGUGAACUCGAAGAGUAGGGCGGGACACGUGGUAUCCUGUCUGAAUAUGGGGGACCAUCCUCCAAGGCUAAAUACUCCUGACUGACCGAUAGUGAACCAGUACCGUGAGGGAAAGGCGAAAAGAACCCCGGCGAGGGGAGUGAAAAAGAACCUGAAACCGUGUACGUACAAGCAGUGGGAGCACCUUCGGGUGUGACUGCGUACCUUUUGUAUAAUGGGUCAGCGACUUAUAUUCUGUAGCAAGGUUAACCGUAUAGGGGAGCCGCAGGGAAACCGAGUCUUAACUGGGCGUUAAGUUGCAGGGUAUAGACCCGAAACCCGGUGAUCUAGCCAUGGGCAGGUUGAAGGUUGGGUAACACUAACUGGAGGACCGAACCGACUAAUGUUGAAAAAUUAGCGGAUGACUUGUGGCUGGGGGUGAAAGGCCAAUCAAACCGGGAGAUAGCUGGUUCUCCCCGAAAGCUAUUUAGGUAGCGCCUCGUGAACUCAUCUUCGGGGGUAGAGCACUGUUUCGGCUAGGGGGUCAUCCCGACUUACCAACCCGAUGCAAACUACGAAUACCGAAGAAUGUUAUCACGGGAGACACACGGCGGGUGCUAACGUCCGUCGUGAAGAGGGAAACAACCCAGACCGCCAGCUAAGGUCCCAAAGUCAUGGUUAAGUGGGAAACGAUGUGGGAAGGCACAGACAGCCAGGAUGUUGGCUUAGAAGCAGCCAUCAUUUAAAGAAAGCGUAAUAGCUCACUGGUCGAGUCGGCCUGCGCGGAAGAUGUAACGGGGCUAAACCAUGCACCGAAGCUGCGGCAGCGACACUAUGUGUUGUUGGGUAGGGGAGCGUUCUGUAAGCCUGCGAAGGUGUGCUGUGAGGCAUGCUGGAGGUAUCAGAAGUGCGAAUGCUGACAUAAGUAACGAUAAAGCGGGUGAAAAGCCCGCUCGCCGGAAGACCAAGGGUUCCUGUCCAACGUUAAUCGGGGCAGGGUGAGUCGACCCCUAAGGCGAGGCCGAAAGGCGUAGUCGAUGGGAAACAGGUUAAUAUUCCUGUACUUGGUGUUACUGCGAAGGGGGGACGGAGAAGGCUAUGUUAGCCGGGCGACGGUUGUCCCGGUUUAAGCAUGUAGGCUGAUUGUCCAGGCAAAUCCGGAUAAUCAAGGCUGAGGUGUGAUGACGAGGCACUACGGUGCUGAAGUAACAAAUGCCCUGCUUCCAGGAAAAGCCUCUAAGCAUCAGGUAACAUUAAAUCGUACCCCAAACCGACACAGGUGGUCAGGUAGAGAAUACCAAGGCGCUUGAGAGAACUCGGGUGAAGGAACUAGGCAAAAUGGUGCCGUAACUUCGGGAGAAGGCACGCUGGUGUGUAGGUGAAGUCCCUGCGGAUGGAGCUGAGACCAGUCGAAGAUACCAGCUGGCUGCAACUGUUUAUUAAAAACACAGCACUGUGCAAACACGAAAGUGGACGUAUACGGUGUGACGCCUGCCCGGUGCCGGAAGGUUAAUUGAUGGGGUUAUCCGUAAGGAGAAGCUCUUGAUCGAAGCCCCGGUAAACGGCGGCCGUAACUAUAACGGUCCUAAGGUAGCGAAAUUCCUUGUCGGGUAAGUUCCGACCUGCACGAAUGGCGUAAUGAUGGCCAGGCUGUCUCCACCCGAGACUCAGUGAAAUUGAACUCGCUGUGAAGAUGCAGUGUACCCGCGGCAAGACGGAAAGACCCCGUGAACCUUUACUAUAGCUUGACACUGAACAUUGAGCCUUGAUGUGUAGGAUAGGUGGGAGGCUUUGAAGCGUGGACGCCAGUCUGCGUGGAGCCAACCUUGAAAUACCACCCUUUAAUGUUUGAUGUUCUAACGUUGGCCCCUGACCGGGGUUGCGGACAGUGUCUGGUGGGUAGUUUGACUGGGGCGGUCUCCUCCCAAAGCGUAACGGAGGAGCACGAAGGUUAGCUAAUCCUGGUCGGACAUCAGGAGGUUAGUGCAAUGGCAUAAGCUAGCUUGACUGCGAGCGUGACGGCGCGAGCAGGUGCGAAAGCAGGUCAUAGUGAUCCGGUGGUUCUGAAUGGAAGGGCCAUCGCUCAACGGAUAAAAGGUACUCCGGGGAUAACAGGCUGAUACCGCCCAAGAGUUCAUAUCGACGGCGGUGUUUGGCACCUCGAUGUCGGCUCAUCACAUCCUGGGGCUGAAGUAGGUCCCAAGGGUAUGGCUGUUCGCCAUUUAAAGUGGUACGCGAGCUGGGUUUAGAACGUCGUGAGACAGUUCGGUCCCUAUCUGCCGUGGGCGCUGGAGAAUUGAGGGGGCUGCUCCUAGUACGAGAGGACCGGAGUGGACGCAUCACUGGUGUUCGGGUUGUCAUGCCAAUGGCACUGCCCGGUAGCUAAAUGCGGAAGAGAUAAGUGCUGAAAGCAUCUAAGCACGAAACUUGCCCGAGAUGAGUUCUCCCUGAGACUUUAAGUCUCCUGAAGGAACGUUGAAGACGACGACGUUGAUAGGCCGGGUGUGUAAGCGCAGCGAUGCGUUGAGCUAACCGGUACUAAUGAACCGUGAGGCUUAACCUUACAACGCCGAAG
rnacentral:rRNA from 1 species